rnacentral:rRNA from 1 species
CCUACGGGUGGCUGCAGUCGAGAAUCAUUCACAAUGGGGGAAACCCUGAUGGUGCGACGCCGCGUGGGGGAAUGAAGGUCUUCGGAUUGUAAACCCCUGUCAUGUGGGAGCAAAUUAAAAAGAUAGUACCACAAGAGGAAGAGACGGCUAAAUCUGUGCCAGCAGCCGCGGUAAUACCGGGGUCUGAAGUGUUGUUCGGAAUCACUGGGUGUAAAGGGUGCGGAGGCUGUUUCGCAAGUCGUGUGUGAACGGCGCGGGCUUAACCCGCGGACGGCAGAUGAUACUGCGGGACUAGAGUAGUGGAGAGGGAACCGGAAUGCUCGGUGUAGCAGUGAAAUGCGUAGAUAUCGAGAAGAACACUCGUGGCGAAGGCGGGUUCCUGGACAUUAACUGACGCUGAGGCACGAAGGCCAGGGGAGCGAAAGGGAUUAGAUACCCUAGUAGUC